GCCCUACGGGACGCAGCAGUGGGGGAUAUUGCACAAUGGGGGAAACCCUGAUGCAGCAACGCCGCGUGUGAGAAGAAGGUUUUCGGAUUGUAAACCACUGUUCUUGGUGAAGAUAAUGACGGUAACCAAGGAGAAAGCUCCGGCUAACUACGUGCCAGCAGCCGCGGUAAUACGUAGGGAGCAAGCGUUGUCCGGAUUUACUGGGUGUAAAGGGGGCGUAGGCGGUCUUGCAAGUCAGACGUGAAAACCACGGGCUCAACCUGGGGACUGCGUUUGAAACUGUGGGGCUUGAGUGAAGGAGAGGG
rnacentral:rRNA from 1 species